CCUGUGUCAUGGCUGGCGGGGCCGAGCAGUCGGGGACCGAGCUGCUGGCCUUUGCGCAGUUCCUGGACUCGAGCCCGCAGCCUCUCGUCUACGGGUACGGCCGGCGCAGCCUGCACGAGCUCCGGGCGCGCGAGUUCGGCCGCCUGGCAGGAACUGUCUAUCUUGACCAUGCAGGAGCCACGCUGUUCCCCCAGAGCCAGCUUACAAGCUUCACUAAAGAUCUCAUGGAAAAUGUUUAUGGUAAUCCUCACAGCCAGAACAGCAGCAGCAGGCUCACCCGUGACACGGUGGAGCAGGUGCGCUACAGGAUCCUGGCACACUUCCACACCUCCCCAGAGGACUACACUGUGAUUUUCACGGCCGGGAGCACAGCUGCUCUUAAACUGGUGGCAGAGGCUUUCCCGUGGUUGCCCCCAGGCCCAGAAAGCAGUGGGAGUCACUUCUGUUACCUCACUGACAGCCACACGUCUGUGGUGGGCAUGAGGGAGGUCGUCGCGGCCAUGAACAUCACUUCCAUCCCAGUCAGGCCAGAGGACAUGUGGCUGGCAGAAGAACAGGAUGCUACCGCUGCCAGCGAUGCCGACGGCCAGCCUCUGCAUCUCUUCUGCUACCCAGCUCAGAGUAACUUUUCCGGCACCAGGUACCCCCUGUCCUGGAUAGAAGAGGUCAAGUCCGGACGGAUGUGCCCCGUGGGCGGGCCUGGGAAGUGGUUCGUGCUGCUGGAUGCGGCUGCCUACGUGGGCACCUCGCCUCUGGACCUGUCGGUUCACGGGGCAGACUUUGUCCCCCUCUCCUUCUAUAAGAUCUUUGGCUUCCCCACUGGCCUGGGCGCCCUGCUGGUGAAUAGCCGCUCAGCUCCUCUGCUGAGGAAAACCUACUUUGGAGGAGGCACGGCCACUGCAUACCUUGCAGAAGAAGACUUCUAUAUCCCCAGAGAGUCGGUGGCUGAAAGAUUUGAAGAUGGUACCAUCUCCUUCCUUGACGUGAUAGCGCUAAAACAUGGAUUCGAUGUCUUAGAGCGCCUCACAGGUGGAAUGGAGAACAUCAGGCAGCACACCUUUACCCUGGCUCGGUACACCUACGCCGCCCUGUCUGCCCUUCGGUACCCCAACGGAGCCCCUGUCGUGCAGAUUUAUAGCGACUCUGAGUUCAGCAGCCCAGAGGUUCAGGGUCCGGUCAUCAGCUUCAACAUGCUCGAUGACAAUGGGAACAUCAUUGGUUACUCCCAGGUGGAUAAAAUGGCCAGUCUUCACAACAUCCACGUGCGAACCGGCUGCUUCUGUAACACUGGGGCCUGCCAGAGACACCUAGGGAUAAGUGAUGAGAUGGUCAAGAAGCAUCUUCAGGCUGGUCAUGUCUGCGGUGACGAUGUGGACCUCAUAGAUGGGCAGCCGACGGGAUCUGUGAGGAUUUCGUUUGGAUACAUGUCUACGCUUGAGGAUGCCCAGGCCUUUCUCAGGUUCAUCAUAGCAACCCGACUGCGCCCGUCUCAUGGCCAGCCUCUCCCUCUGGCCACGCCUGGGGAGGCUGGAGCCCUGUCAGCAGAGAGCCUGCCUGCCACCAGGGCCAGACGUAGUCCCUCACCUCAGGAAGAUGCUUCCCCAGACUCCAGGGUUUGGGACAACGCACCCACCACUGCGGAUGCUGUGAGUUUGCGCCCACCUCUGCUAGAGACCACCAGAACCCAGCAGACCCCUUCAGAGAAAGCUGCAGGCAUCCUGGAUGGGAGCCUUGGGUCACACAUCGUCACCAACCUUUUCCUCUACCCAAUCAAAUCCUGUGCCGCAUUUGAGGUGACCAGGUGGCCGCUAGGAAAUCAAGGGUUGCUGUACGACCGGAACUGGAUGGUUGUGAAUCACAACGGUGUUUGCCUGAGUCAGAAGCAGGAACCCCGGCUCUGCCUGAUCCAGCCCUUCAUUGACCUGCAGCGAAGGAUCAUGGUCAUCAAAGCCCAAGGGAUGGAGCCUAUAGCGGUGUCACUUGAGGAGAACAGCAAACCGGCUCAGAUUUGCCAAAGCAAGGUCUGUGCGGACAGGGUAAAUACUUAUGACUGUGGAGAAAAAAUUUCAAGCUGGUUGUCAACGUUUUUUGGCCGUCCAUAUCAUUUGAUCAGACAAAGUUCAGACUUUCAAAGAAAUGCAAGGAAGAAACGAGGCAAAGAUCAAUCUGCUUGUACAACAGCCACCCUCUCUCUGGUGAAUGAGGCACAGUAUCUGCUGAUAAACAGAUCCAGUGUUUUGGAACUUCAGCAGCAAUUAAGCACCAGUGAUGAGAAUGGAAAGGAAGAAUUAUUCCCAGUGAACAAUCUCAUCUCGCGUUUCCGUGCCAAUAUUAUUACCAGUGGAACAAGGGCUUUUGAAGAAGAGAAAUGGGAUGAAAUUUCAGUUGGUUCCUUGCAUUUCCAGACCUCUCUGGCACCAGCCUUCUGUCAUUCCACUCAAUCCUCCAUCCUGGCUGACUCUUCUUCAUUUUCUGUUGCUGUGUCCCUGCCUUGCUAUAAAAGCACCUGCUCUCAGGGUACAUGCCCAGUAAUGGAUUGCUGGGUCAUAUGGUUUUGGGACCUUGUCACAGAUGCCAGAUGAUUUGCAUCGAUCAGCAAACUGGGCAGAGAAACCGAAAUGUUUUCCAAAAGCUUUCUGAGAGGCGAGAGAGAAAGGUGAACUUUGGGCUAUACCUGAUGCAUACCUCUUUGAAUUUAUCUUCUCCAUGUUACCUGUCUGUAGGAUCUCAGGUGCUCCCUGUGUUGAAAGAAAACAUAGAACACUAUGAUUUACCUGCUUCUGAGAAACAGCAG